rnacentral:rRNA from 1 species
AUUGAACGCUGGUGGCAGGCCUAACACAUGCAAGUCGAGCGAGCGGCGGACGGGUGAGUCAUGUAUGGGGCCUGCUCGAUAGAGGGGGAUAAUUACUGGAAACGGAGGCUAAUACCGCAUACUAUCGGAUAACCCAUAUGGGAUUCGCCAGUAGGUGGGGUAAAGGCUCACCUAGGCGACGAUCUCUAGCGGGUCUGAGAGGAUGAUCAGCCACACUGGGACAGAGACACGGCCCAGACUCCGAAGGAGGCAGCAGUGGGGAAUAUUGCACAAUGGGAGCAAGCCGGAUGCAGCCAUGCCGCGUGUAUGAAGAAGGCCUUAGGGUUGUAAAGUACUUUCAUCGGGGAGGCGUUACCCGCAGAAGAAGCGCCGGCUAACUACGUGCCAGCCGCCGCGGUAAUAC